GACGAACGCUGGCGGCGUGCUUAACACAUGCAAGUCGAACGGAAAGGCCCUGCUUUUGUGGGGUGCUCGAGUGGCGAACGGGUGAGUAACACGUGAGUAACCUGCCCUUGACUUUGGGAUAACUUCAGGAAACUGGGGCUAAUACCGGAUAGGAGCUCCUGCUGCAUGGGGGGGGUUGGAAAGUUUCGGCGGUGGGGGAUGGACUCGCGGCUUAUCAGCUUGUUGGUGGGGUAGUGGCUUACCAAGGCUUUGACGGGUAGCCGGCCUGAGAGGGUGACCGGCCACAUUGGGACUGAGAUACGGCCCAGUCUCCUACGGGAGGCAGCAGUGGGGAAUAUUGCACAAUGGGCGGAAGCCUGAUGCAGCAACGCCGCGUGCGGGAUGACGGCCUUCGGGUUGUAAACCGCUUUCGCCUGUGACGAAGCGUGAGUGACGGUAAUGGGUAAAGAAGCACCGGCUAACUACGUG
rnacentral:rRNA from 1 species